rnacentral:lncRNA from 1 species
UCUGAACAAGCAAGCAGUAAGAAUAAUUACAUUAUCAAUACUAACCAGUCCUCAAAGAUGAUGCAGCAGCCAAUUUAGCACAAAACUCUAAUUAAAACAUCGUUUGGUGAUAUCAAAAAUAUUUUUUCUGAAAAAAUACUUCAAGGACGCCCAACAAACAACGGCGAUAACUUAUGUUUUACAUUGUUACAAACAGUUACAUUAUUCUGAUGUUCUCGUCUUUUUCUUUUAUACAAGAGUG